rnacentral:rRNA from 1 species
GACGAACGCUGGCGGCGUGCCUAACACAUGCAAGUCGAACGGUAAGGCCCUUCGGGGUACACGAGUGGCGAACGGGUGAGUAACACGUGGGUGAUCUGCCCUGCACUUCGGGAUGAGCCUGGGAAACUGGGUCUAAUACCGGAUAGGACUCCUGGCUUCAUGGUUGGGGGUGGCAAGCUUUUGCGGUGUGGGAUGGGCCCGCGGCCUAUCAGCUUGUUGGUGGGGUAAGGGCCUACCAAGGCGACGACGGGUAGCCGGCCUGAGAGGGUGACCGGUCACACUGGGACUGAGAUACGGCCCAGACUCCUACGGGAGGCAGCAGUGGGGAAUAUUGCACAAUGGGCGCAAGCCUGAUGCAGCGACGCCGCGUGAGGGAUGACGGCCUUCGGGUUGUAAACCUCUUUCAGCUAUGACGAAGCGCAAGUGACGGUAGUAGCAGAAGAAGGACCGGCCAACUACGUGCCAGCCGCCGCUGUAA